GCCUUCUCCAUCUACACAGACACAAAAGAAGAGGCCACAGGACAAGUGAACACGCUGUGCUUCAGAACUGCAGCGCUCAUCAGGAGGAUACAUCUCAUUCAGUGGAGUGGAGAUUCUGUGUUUGAACUGGGGUAGAAGCCUGAGAGACCGGAUAUUUUGAGGACAACAAUUCAUCUGGGACUACAAAUUCACAUACAACACUGAGGGGUAGUAACCUUUAGUUCACAUGAGAGCUGAACUUGAUAUGCAUUUCUAUUUGAUUGCCAAUACUUUAAAUCCCCUAUGAAACUUUGUGACAGCUUAUGGCAUAAAUGAAAUAAAGACAACAAAAGACAAUAGUCAAAGGACAAUAAUAAUGUCAUGAAGGAGCUAUUC